GGGGAAGAGUAGUACUAGAAUGUUACGUGGCUGAGGAACUGUUGGAAGGCAAAUAACAAGCAAACAACAAGUAUUUCAUCCUCCCAAAUUGAGGACUCGCCACCAGCUGUGCUAGAAAUUGAGGACUCCCAAAUCUUCUCUCAUUGUGCAUGAUCAAAUGCCUCUCGCAGCUCCAAGUUAUGGAAUUGAGUUAUCGUCCUAACAUGAAAGCUAUUGUUAUCGAUGAAAUUGAACACGACAAUGAAGUGGUCGAGUUCGAUCAACUGUGCUCCUUGAGACUAAAAAAUCUGCCACAUCUCACAAGCUUUUGCAGCAAAAUGAGGAUGCCUCUGGGAAUUAGAGCGAGACAUGAGCAAUUGACAGUUGAUGCAGCAUUUGAGGAAUUUGUCUUAGAGGGUGAACUUGUCGGUUUUCUCUUUUCAAUGCAAUUCCAUAUCAUGUAAUUUUGUCAUUUUCUGCAUGUAUGGGAGCAUAGUUCCACAUUGCCACAGCCAAAGGAUUCACUUGAAGCAUAUAUGGACUAAGGUUCCACAAGGAGUUCUUACAGUUCAAAAUUUGAAAUCAAUUUAUGUUUCAUGAGAUUCUGAAAAAUCUCUUUCCUGCCUCCAUAGCAAGAGUCUGUUUUCUUUGGCAACUUCAACACCUUAAAAUAAAGGGCACCAGAACUUGGGAGUUUCUAUCCAGGGAUACUCACCUCUGAGUGGUAGAAAUUGAAAUGAUUUAGUUAUGGUUGUGACAAUGUUUAGAGUUGAUGUAAAAACUAGUGAGCUGUAGUUAUAUUGAAAUUGUACCAAAACUUAAAAUCUUAAUUCAAGUUUCAUUCAAAA
rnacentral:misc_RNA from 1 species